AUGAAGGUCUCCAGAGCCCCUUGCCCUCUCCCCGCUCCCAGCCCCAACACCUUGGACCCAGGACCCGCUCUGGGAGGAGGGUUGGGCCGGGUUCACCCCUCCCUGCCCCCAAGCUCCCACUCCCUGAGGAAUUUCUACACUGGGGUGUCCCAGCCUGGGAUCCCCCCUUCAUCUCUGUCGGCUACGUGGACGACACGCAGUUUGUGCGGUUCGACAGCGAUGCCCCGAAUCCAAGGAUGGAGCCGCAGGUGCCAUGGGUGGAGCAGGAGGGGCCGGAGUAUUGGGAUCGGAACCCGCGGAUCUACAAGCACCAUGCACAGACUUUCCGAGUGGACCUGAACACCCUGCGCAACUACUACAACCAGAGCGAGGCCGAAUCUCUUCAGCCCACUGUCCUCAUGGCAUCAUUGUUGGCCUGGUUCUCUUGGUGGUCACUGGAGCUGUGGUGGCUGGAGCUGUGAUCUGGAGGAAGAAGCACUCCAGGCAGCGACAGUGCCCAGGACUGUGAUGUUAUCUUUCACCAGUCCUAAAGAGCUGUUUCCUGUAUUAUUCUUUCCAUCUUUUCCAAAGAACCCAAAACUGGAAAAGAACAAGAAUUAAACCCUGGAAGUCCCAGUGCUGAUCAGACCACACACCUGAGCAGACUGGAGAGUUUUGGCACUGCGUCUAGACAGCACAGAGACCAGGGAGUCCUAAACUUUAAUUUGCAUAAGAAUCAUCGGGACAUCUUGGUAAGAUUCAGAAGGUCUGUAGUAGGACAUGGGAUUCUGUAUUAUAACAAGGUUGGUGCUGAUUCUGCUCACUUUCAGAUCACAUUUAGUAGCAAGAACGUAGACCAGGAUUCCCACAUGGCUGUGCACCAGCCUUACCUGUAGGGCUUGUUGAAUAAGCAAGUCUUGGGCUCCGUGCCCAGCAUUCUGAGAUGAUGGGUCUGGGAAGAAACCUGAGUAUUUUGCAGCAAUCCUUACAAGCAAUCUUGGGAUUUAGCUGGAUUGGGAACCACUGAGGUCAGUGAUCAGAGAGCGCUCAGGUUGGGGAGGAGCCUUAAAUCCACACUUAAACUUUCAGCCUAAGUGUCCAUCAACAGAUGAAUGGAUAAAGAAGAUGUGGCACAUAUAUACAAUGGAAUAUUACUCAGUCAUAAAGAGAAAUGAGAUUGAGUUAUUUGUAGUG